UUGUUUAUUGUAUCAAGUGAGAAAGACCACAACCAGGCGAAUAUUCAGGCCACCAUGAUUCGAAGCAAACUGAGAAGGGUUCCCAGGUUUAGAACCAUGUUCAGCAGCAUGUUCCAUUAUCCAAGAUAUUCUGUUUAUUGGAGCAAGGCAGAUCCUGUUCCAUCAUUCAUCAGUCGGGACUGGAAGCGACAUGAGGAAAGGCACAGAGAAACCCUCCAGCAACUUGCUGCAAUUGAUGCUGCUUUUCAGAUGCCUCAAGAAGUUUAUGAAGAUCCUGAUGUUACUGGAAAGAAUCGCUAUAAAUAUUUUGAAAGGCCUUUCCUUCCAUUUUAUCAGCAGAUGCCACUCAGUGUUGUUUUUGCAUCAACCAGGGCAGAUCCAUAUACUUUUCCUCCUCCUCCUACUAAGUACCUGCCCAUUCCUUCGAAGUACACGGUGGGCACUCAGACUGAUUAUCGGGAUGCUGAAGUUCAAACAGACCCGUAUUCUCCAGAAUAUGUAGUAUGUCAGGAUUCCAUCCCUGAGCUCCUAACCCUGGCUACUCUCACUUGGGGUCGAGGUCUCCCGGCAGGACAAGCUGAAGUAGAGAUGAUAGAACGUGCCCGGGAGAAGCGUGCUUGGGAAGACACCCUGCCCCCUCUGAGUGACACCUCCCAGUUUGAGAAAAGGAGGCGGAUGAUGAAUGCCAUGGAGAGGAAGGAGUGGGCCUUCAGAGAGCAGGAGAUUGAGAAAUUGCAGGAGAUUCGCCUGGAAGUUCUAAAAGAACUGCUGAAGAAGCGUGACAAGAAUCAAAAUGACGUGAACAUGGCACGCUUGAAUGCCCAGUGGUCUAAACUACAGGAAGCAAAGGAGGCAAAGUUGGCACAGAUUCAACGCAAGCAUGUAUCAGCAAUCAGAAAACUUAUGGGAAAAGGGAAGAAUAUAGAAGGGAAGUUGGAGAGAAGAAAUAUCAUCAAGGAUUAUUGUGAUUAUGCAUCACAGGUCUAUGGACCUCUAUCUCGCCUUGGUCGUUUCCCAGACAACAAUUCAGAGGACUUUGUGGUAAAAAACCACUAUCUCAACACCUAUGAAGGAUUAGUUGAACUUGAGUCAUGUCUCCCAGAUUUUGUGACACAACCCCGAAUCAAACCACCAAAACCAAAAGUCACUACUACCAAAGAUGGUUUUCUAAAGAGGGCUGCAAGGAUGGACCAUGAGUUGGCAGAGGUUCAUAAGGCACUGUUGGAAAAGAAGAAUAAGGAUUUCAAAGCAAAGAAGCCUAUGCGUUUUCUUCAAAGAAAGCCAGUACCUCAACCUCGACUUCCAACUCCAACCCUGGAGAUGAGUUCCAAUGAAGAAGAAGAUAUAGAAAUGGCAGUGAUCUACCUUCAAAAGUUGCUCCGGGGCAGAGUUGUUCAAAACAUGAUGUUUGAAGGGAAAGAGAAGCGACUGGAGUUGAUCCAGGAGCUGCGCACCAGCCACGCACUGCAAGAAGAUGACAGGCUGGUGAAGAAAGCCGAGAAGCAGGUGACCCUGGCCCUGCAGCGGCAGAGGAACUUGCACGAGCACAAGGUGUCGCUGGUUGAAAACCAUUUGGCUGGACUGGAAGGAAGGGUGCUGGCGGACAUGUUUGACUUCCUGUCCAAAGAGCUGGUGAGACUGCAGGAGGAGAGGCGGGUCCAUGCCCUGGCCAUGCUGGCCGAGCGGCAGCGCCGGAUGCGUGAAGCUGAAGAGAGUGGCCGGCGCCAGGUGGAGCAGAGGCGCCUGCAGGAGGAGGACCGGAUAUUUAAGGAGGUGAUUAAAGUUCACCAAAGCACUGUAACUUCCUAUCUGGAGGACAUAAUACUGAACACUGAAGAGAAUACUGCAGAAGAACAAGCCAGGGCAGAAAUAGAGAAGAUGGCUGAGGAAAUCAAUGACAUUGCUUAUGAAAUGGAAAGCCGUCGAACUCAGCUUCAAUCAGAGGAGAUUGUGGCCGAGUUGGUUUACAGUUUCCUGAUCCCGGAGGUGCAAAAGGACUUUGUCAAAGAAAAGGUGAGGAAUGCUCAGCGGAAGCAUAUCCUGGCAGCCCAUCAGAUCAUUCACAGGCACACAGAGGACAUGCUCAAGACGCAUUUUGUUGAGCAACGGCAGACACCAGACACUGAGCUACUUGAGGGAGAAACUGAAAAUGAGCAAAAUACCUAAGCCUUAGAAGCACAGUUCCUCCACUGGGUCCCUUGGAUCUCUCCCUAUCCAGCUGAUGUUUGAGAGUGAGUGAAAGAAUCUGAGCACACACUGGGAAGAACUCAGCUGUAAGGCACUGCCAGCCAGUGCUCCAGGUGGAUGAAGGACUGAGUGCUUUCAUCUUGAAACAGUGAUCUGGGCAGCAUAUCACAGCAUCCUGUGGACGUAUAAAGACUCAGCUUUCUGGUGGAAGAUAGGAGAUGGUGAAAGGGAAAGUUGCUCAGUCGUGUCCGACUCUUUGCGAGUCCAUGGACUAUACAGUCCAUGGAAUUCUCCAGGGAGGUGAUGAGGGCCGACUUAAGGCAAUAAUAUAAAUUAUAACAGUGAGCCGAGACAUACCACUGAGACAGGAUGGUGGAGUAGGACAUGAGUUUACCUCUUCUUAUGGAAACAUCAAAAUCACAACUAACUGCUGAAAAACCAUCGACAGAAAAAUGUUGGAACCUAUCAAAGAUACUCUGCAUCCAAAGAAGAAGCCACAAUGAGAUGACUAGAGGGGCGCAAUACAAUCAAAUCCCAUACAUGCCAGGAUGAUCUUUUAAAGAGAAGCUGUACAAAUCAUCAUAGAGAAUUCCAGUUGUCUGCCCUUCUUCCAAGAUGUGCAGCUCUUAGGGCUUGUCAGUGUGUGUUGCAUAUGAGGAAAGAUUUCUCUUCUUUAAACUCCCAAUGAUUUAACGUGAUUUUCAGUAAUAACAAUCAAAUGAAGGAGCUUUAUUCUCUCUGGUAUUUCCUAGAUGCUCUACUUAAAGAGAAAAUUUUCUCAUGUCUCAUUUCAACAUUUCGUUCACUACAAAGAUAUACCGGCUUGUUGAGUCAAAUAUAAAUCAGUAAAAAAAAAAAUGUUACUGAA